rnacentral:rRNA from 2 species
CUUGGCGACCAUAGCACUAUGGACCCACCUGAUCCCAUGCCGAACUCAGAAGUGAAACAUAGUAGCGCCGAUGGUAGUGUGGGGUCUCCCCAUGUGAGAGUAGGUCAUCGCCAGGU